GGGGCUAAACAUGCAGUCGAGCGCGGGAAGCAGGCAGAUCCCUUCGGGGUGAAACCUGUGGAACGAGCGGCGGACGGGUGAGUAACACGUGGGCAACCUGCCUGAAAGUCCGGGAUAACCCCGGGAAACCGGAGCUAAUACCGGAUGGGCCCAUCGACCGCCUGGUCGAUGGGGAAAAGCGGGGAUUUACCUCGCGCUUUCAGAUGGGCCCGCGGCGCAUUAGCUGGUUGGUGGGGUAAGAGCCUACCAAGGCAACGAUGCGUAGCCGACCUGAGAGGGUGAUCGGCCACACUGGGACUGAGACACGGCCCAGACUCCUACGGGAGGCAGCAGUAGGGAAUCAUCCGCAAUGGGCGAAAGCCUGACGGUGCAACGCCGCGUGAGUGAAGAAGGUUUUCGGAUCGUAAAGCUCUGUUAUCCGAGAAGAACAAGGACCGGUCGAAGAGGCCGGUUCCAUGACGGUACCGGAUCAGAAAGCCCCGGCUAACUACGUGCCAGCAGCCGCGGUAAUACGUAGGGGGCAAGCGUUGUCCGGAAUUAUUGGGCGUAAAGGGCGCGCAGGCGGUUUCCUAAGUCUGAUGUGAAAGGCCACGGCUCAACCGUGGAAUGGCAUUGGAAACUGGGGAACUUGAGUACAGGAGAGGAGAGUGGAAUUCCACGUGUAGCGGUGAAAUGCGUAGAGAUGUGGAGGAACACCAGUGGCGAAGGCGGCUCUCUGGCCUGUAACUGACGCUGAGGCGCGAAAGCGUGGGGAGCGAACAGGAUUAGAUACCCUGGUAGUCCACGCCGUAAACGUUGAGUGCUAGGUGUUAGGGGUUUCGACGCCCUUAGUGCCGAAGCAAACGCAUUAAGCACUCCGCCUGGGGAGUACGACCGCAAGGUUGAAACUCAAUGAAAUUUUCCCGG
rnacentral:rRNA from 1 species